rnacentral:rRNA from 1 species
AAUGAACGUUGGCGGCGUGGAUUAGGCAUGCAAGUCGCGCGAGAAAUUUCCUUCGGGAGAUGGACAGCGGCGAAAGGGAGAGGAAUAAGUAGAAAUCUGCCCUCGGGACGGGGAUAGCGGCGGGAAACUGCCGGUAAUACCCGAUAACAUCUUCGGAUCAAAAGGUGUGAUUCCGCCUGGGGAUGAGUCUACUUCCUAUUAGCUAGUUGGCGGGGUAAUGGCCCACCAAGGAAACGAUGGGUAGCGGGUGUGAGAGCACGAUCCGCCUCACUGGGGCUGAGACACUGCCCAGACACCGACGGGUGGCUGCAGGCGAGAAUCUUCGGCAAUGGGGGAAACCCUGACCGAGCGACGCCGCGUGCGGGAUGAAGGCCCUCGGGUUGUAAACCGCUGUCGUAAGGGAACAAAUCUAUGAGGGUACUCUCUCAUAGUUGAGUGAUCUUAGGAGGAAGGACGGGCUAAGUUCGUGCCAGCAGCCGCCGUAACAC